rnacentral:rRNA from 1 species
GAAACGGUAGGCUAAUACCGCAUAAGGUCGCAAGACCAAAGAGGGGGACCUUCGGGCCUCUUGCCAUCGGAUGUGCCCCAGAUGGGAUUAGCUAGUAGGUGGGGUAACGGCUCACCUAGGCGACGAUCCCUAGCUGGUCUGAGAGGAUGACCAGCCACACUGGAAGUGAGACACGGUCCAGACUCCUACGGGAGGCAGCAGUGGGGAAUAUUGCACAAUGGGCGCAAGUCUGAUGCAGCCAUGCCGCGUGUAUGCUGAAGGCCUUCGGGUUGUAAAGUACUUUCAGCCGUGGGAGGAAGGGAGUAAAGUUAAUACCUUUGCUCAAU